CUGGGUUGGCGAACCUGCUCCGAC
rnacentral:siRNA from 1 species